rnacentral:rRNA from 1 species
AUGAUGGAGCAAGUGAAGGUGGUUUGGGAAGCCAGCCAAGCAGCUUAUGACGCGAGUUCAGCUCUUCAGAGCAACGUCCAGAAUUCCUGCAAACUUGUGGCUCGCUACACUGAGUUGGAGAACAAACAGAUCCAGCUGAACCUUGACUUGAAGCUUGCUCAGGAGAACUUACAGAAGGCGAGGGAUGAAGCAAAAGGUAUGGCUGGUGAGCUUUUGUCGACUGUCCUUUCUUUCUGGCCGUCCUCGAUGUUAAUCUCACUUGCUGUUGUGACGCCCCCAAUUCAAUCGUACACUAAUCAUGCACGCAAAUGUGUACGAUCAAGAUCAGGGACUCACGGGAAGAUAUCACAACACAACUCUAAAACAUAA